GUCUCCGUAGUUAAACGGAUAUAACAAGCCCCUCCUAAGGGUUAGUUACAGGUUCGAUUCCUGUCGGGGACACCA
rnacentral:tRNA from 3 species